CAAAGACAAGACCUCCCAGUGGAUCAUUGCUUUAGAGAGUGGAAGGCUCACGUCUCCCUUCUUGAGCCUUUAGGGAAAAUAUUAGGAUAUUAGUAUUCCAGGUCCUCCUGGUCUCAAUUCUCCAAAUCGCCGACGCGCACAAGUCACUGCUGCUCGUGCCCACUGGUUCGCUCAGCGCCGUGGGCAUUUCCCACUGUUCCUUGGAAGGUGCUGGAAGGCCCGGCUGCCGCCGGCAGUGGGAGAAGAAGGCACAGAGGGCUGCCAGAAACACAGACCCGAUUUUGCAGCUCCUGAGAAGCAAGGCGUUCUAGGACGAGUCACUGAAGAACUGUCAUCGUGCCCCAUCUAGUGGCCGCCACCAGACACGGGAGCAGCCUUUUGUCCUCCCAAGUGAGGACCAGGCUGGGACGAAGCCAAGUUUUCCUGUGCCUUCAGAGGCUGUUGGAAAUUAAACCACCUGGAGGAGUAGAGUAAUUUUUUUAAGCCAUGAGAGUAUUGGUCAGUGACACUUGAGACUGGUGCUUAAUGAAGAAAAGGAUUUCUUCAAAUACUUGGAUUAAAGGGGAUAAUUUUCAAAGGUCAUGAUAGCCCGCGAUGAGCUUCAAGAAAUCACCCUUACUUUGGUUGUGCCCCUUCUCUCUUCUCAGAAGAAUGUGUAUUUAAGGUGAUUUUUCUAAUGCAAGAAGUUAGAUUUCUGGAAAUCCUUCCAUGCCAUUCAAAUCUUUAUGUAUGUGUUGGUGAAUUUCGGGAGUGGCACAAAAUGGUGUUUGCUGAGUUUGAACUAUGUCUUGGACAGAGGUCUGGUCUCCAUUCAGAGGAAGGCGUAAGCAAUCCCAAAUGGAGAGAGAUGUGAAAUCUUCAUGGCGAAGAAAGUGACUUCCUACUCAAACGGACAUACUGGUACUUAAUGCUGAAUGAAACACAGCAAAAUAGAAGUGAUUCCAUCCCAAAGCCAUUUCAGAUACAUACACAUACCAUUCCACCAUUAUUAAUUCAUAGAUGGUAAGUUCAAAGAAAAGCGUGUGGGUGAAGAUUUACCGAGGGCUUCUUUAAUUAAAGCAUAAAAUGGGAAUGGUCCUUGAAAUACCAAAUAUGCCCCGCAUUGUCUCAUUGUUUUGGUCCGGUGCAUUAAUUUAAAAGAAAACUGAUGAUUUGGAACUCCAAGAUUAAUAUGAAUAACACAAUCAUUAAAAUUAUACUAUUUCAGAUAUUAAUAACACAACCAUUAAAAUUCUCAUUUUUGAUAGUAUAUUAUUCAUACA